rnacentral:rRNA from 1 species
UGGGGAAUUUUGGACAAUGGGGGAAACCCUGAUCCAGCCAUCCCGCGUGUGCGAUGAAGGCCUUCGGGUUGUAAAGCACUUUUUGCAGGAAAGAAACGUCAUGGGUUAAUACCCCGUGAAACUGACGGUACCUGCAGAAUAAGCACCGGCUAACUACGUGCCAGCAGCCGCGGUAAUACGUAGGGUGCAAGCGUUAAUCGGAAUUACUGGGCGUAAAGCGUGCGCAGGCGGUUCGGAAAGAAAGAUGUGAAAUCCCAGAGCUCAACUUUGGAACUGCAUUUUUAACUACCGGGCUAGAGUGUGUCAGGGGGAGGUGGAAUUCCGCGUGUAGCAGUGAAAUGCGUAGAUAUGCGGAGGAACACCGAUGGCGAAGGCAGCCUCCUGGGAUAUCACUGACGCUCAUGCACGAAAGCGUGGGGAGCAAACAGG